GACAGAGGGUGCAAACGUUGCUCGGAAUUACUGGGCGUAAAGCGCGUGUAGGCGGUGCCGCACGUCCGAUGUGAAAGCCCGGGGCUCAACCCCGGACGUGCAUUGGAUACGACGGCGCUGGAGUCCUGAAGAGGAGGGCGGAAUUCCCGGUGUAGAGGUGAAAUUCGUAGAUAUCAGGAGGAACACCGGUGGCGAAGGCGGGUCUCUGGGCAACUACUGACGCUGAGGAGCGAAAGCGUGGGGAGCGAACAGG
rnacentral:rRNA from 1 species